rnacentral:rRNA from 1 species
GACAGAGGUGGCGAGCGUUGUUCGGAAUUACUGGGCGUAAAGGGUGUGUAGGCGGUUGAAUAAGUCAGCGGUGAAAUCCUACGGCUUAACCGUAGAACUGCCGUUGAUACUGUUUGACUAGAGUGCAGGAGAGGAGGGUGGAAUUCCCGGUGUAGAGGUGAAAUUCGUAGAUAUCGGGAGGAACACCAGUGGCGAAGGCGGCCCUCUGGACUGUAACUGACGCUGAGACACGAAAGCGUGGGGAGCAAACAGG